rnacentral:rRNA from 1 species
GAUGAACGCUCGCGAUAGGCUUAACACAUGCAAGUCGAGGGGCAGCAUGGUCUUAGCUUGCUAAGGCUGAUGGCGACCGGCGCACGGGUGCGUAACGCGUAUGCAACUUGCCUCACAGAGGGGGAUAACCCGUCGAAAGACGGACUAAUACCGCGUACACUCUAUGUUGGGCAUCCAAUGUAGAGGAAAUGAAAUUCGCUGUGAGAUAGGCAUGCGUCCCAUUAGCUAGUUGGUGAGGUAACGGCUCACCAAGGCGACGAUGGGUAGGGGAACUGAGAGGUUGAACCCCCACACUGGUACUGAGACACGGACCAGACUCCUACGGGAGGCAGCAGUGAGGAAUAUUGGUCAAUGGGCGAGGGCCUGAACCAGCCAAGUCGCGUGAAGGAUGACUGUCUUAUGGAUUGUAAACUUCUUUUAUACGGGAAUAACAAGAGUCACGUGUGGCUCCCUGCAUGUACCGUAUGAAUAAGCAUCGGCUAACUCCGUG